AGCCCACUCGCGCCCUUUUCGUGCCGUGCCCUUGGAGCGGGUGAGGCCACCAUGGAGGCGGCACCGGCACCGAGGGACAGUGGCGGGGCUGCGGACACGCGUUCCCGCAGGAAGAUGUCUUGAAGUAAAAGGGCCUGGGGUGGCACAGCAGGAGUGGGAGCAGCUCAGAGCUGGCCCUGGUGUGAAGGGAGAGCCUGCAGGUCUCUGCAGGUUGUUGAUGUCCAGCCCCUGAUGUGAGAUUUGUUCACAAGUCCUGUGGAGGGCACUGGGACAGCAGAGCAGGAGAAUCUGCUGGGUGCUGCUGCUGGAAACAUCUCUGAGGCACAAGGACUCCAACAAAACACCUGGGCUUGAGGAUUUUGUGUGGACACAACGUUUUUGUGCCUGUUACAAAGUGGUAACAGUUCAAGUGUUUCAUUUCCUGUACAUUAAAAUAAUUUAUUUUUAAAACCGC